UAAUGGUCCAUUGGCCCGGAAAUACAAGAUCACCAUGAUUGUAAUGGGAAGUUUGCUGUUAGCACUUAUAACAGCAUUUAUUGUCAUUCUUGCGUUGUAUAUCAAAGAAAAAGAAGAAUCCAGCAAUUUCGGGGGAACAACAGAAUUGGUUAAAGAAACCAAUGGAAACGGCAUGAUGUAUCGGAGAAAAUAGGACAGCUCUACAGUAUUUAGUGGAUGACAAACGUACUACAGACACUGAAUAAACUUUCUUAUACAUGAUUUGAAUCUCACUAUGCUUUUGUAUAAAUCUUAAAUCUA